CUGAAAAUAUGCUUGAAGUCGAGCUGCUAUUGAAGGAUGAGCAGUUCCUUCAGCUUCCUUGAGAUCUGGUAACAACCCUUAAUUUCCGCUCCCUGUCUGAUUUCCUGGACGAUCUGCUCCGCAUCGCAUUCAACUUCAAUUUUCUUGAAUCCCAUUUGUCUGCAUAAACAAAGUCCUUCAAUUAUUCCCCACGCUUCGGCUUGUCUGAUAUCACACUUCUCUAAUUUUACUGUAAAUCCACUCAGCCACUCUCCACAAUCUCCCCUUAUCACUCCUCCGCAUCCUGCUUUUCCUUUGUAGUUGAUGCUUCCAUCCGUAUUAAGUGUGCACCAAUCUUUUCUUGGAGGGUCGCCUAAAACUCUCAUCAUGUGCUUUACUAUUCCUCCAUUGCCAGAUGAACUAGCAAACAGUGGCGAAGGUUUCAGGCCAUUGAGCUUCCUCUAGAUUGCAUCCUUUAUAAAGAACAUUGUUCGGGAACCAGCUUUCUCAAUUACCACUGAAAAAGGAAUUCCUUCGUGCUUCAGUGUGUGUAUAUAUAUAUAUAUAUA